rnacentral:rRNA from 1 species
AUUGAACGCUGGCGGCAGGCUUAACACAUGCAAGUCGGACGGUAACAGGAGGAAAGCUUGCUUUCUUUGUGACGAGUGGCGGACGGGUGAGUAAUGCUUGGGAAUCUGUUUUAUGGAGGGGGAUAUACGGGAAACUGUAGCUAAUACCGCGUAAUAUCGAGAGAUUAAAGUGUGGGACCGUAAGGCCACAUUCCAUAGAGUGAGCCCAAGUGGGAUUAGGUAGUUGGUGGGGUAAAGGCCUACCAAGCCGUCGAUCUCUAGGUGGUCUGAGAGGAUGACCAGCCACACUGGGACUGAGACACGGCCCAGACUCCUACGGGAGGCAGCAGUGGGGAAUAUUGCACAAUGGGCGCAAGCCUGAUGCAGCCAUGCCGCGUGAAUGAAGAAGGCCUUCGGGUUGUAAAGUUCUUUCGGUGGUGAGGAAGGUUGUAAUGUUAAUAGCAUUAUAAUUUGACGUUAGCCACAGAAGAAGCACCGGCUAACUCCGUGCCAGCAGCCGCGGUAAUACGGAGGGUGCGAGCGUUAAUCGGAAUAACUGGGCGUAAAGGGCACGCAGGCGGAUACUUAAGUGAGGUGUGAAAGCCCUGGGCUUAACCUAGGAAUUGCAUUUCAUACUGGGUAUUAGAGUAUUUUAGGGAGGGGUAGAAUUCCACGUGUAGCGGUGAAAUGUGUAGAGAUGUGGAGGAAUACCGAAGGGGAAGGCAGCCCCUUGGGGGAAUACUGACGGUCAUGUGGGAAAGCGUGGGGAGCAAACAGG